UACGGAGGAUGCGAGCGUUGUCCGGAUUUAUUGGGUUUAAAGGGAGCGCAGACGGGUCGUUAAGUCAGCUGUGAAAGUUUGGGGCUCAACCUUAAAAUUGCAGUUGAUACUGGCGUCCUUGAGUGCGGUUGAGGUGUGCGGAAUUCGUGGUGUAGCGGUGAAAUGCUUAGAUAUCACGAAGAACUCCGAUUGCGAAGGCAGCACACUAAGCCGUAACUGACGUUCAUGCUCGAAAGUGUGGGUAUCAAACAGG
rnacentral:rRNA from 1 species